rnacentral:rRNA from 1 species
UACGGAGGAUCCAAGCGUUAUCCGGAUUUAUUGGGUUUAAAGGGUGCGUAGGCGGAUUAUUAAGUUAGUCGUUAAAUCGGGAGGCUCAACCUUCUCAUGGCGAUUAAUACUGGUAAUCUAGAGAUUAGAUGCAGAGGGCGGAAUGUGUAGUGUAGCGGUGAAAUGCUUAGAUAUUACACAGAACACCGAUUGCGAAGGCAGCUCUCUAAACUACAUCUGACGCUCAGGCACGAAAGCGUGGGGAUCAAACAGG